rnacentral:tRNA from 1 species
CGGAGAGCCAAGUGGAUCAAGGCAGU